rnacentral:rRNA from 1 species
AGAGUUUGAUCCUGGCUCAGGAUGAACGCUAGCGACAGGCUUAACACAUGCAAGUCGAGGGGCAGCGAGGGAGUGGCAACACUUCUGUCGGCGACCGGCGCACGGGUGAGUAACGCGUAUGCAACCUGCCCUUCACAGGGGGAUAACCGGGAGAAAUUCCGACUAAUACCGCAUACGUCCUUUGGGGGCAUCCCCGGGGGAUGAAAGAUUUAUCGGUGAAGGAUGGGCAUGCGUGAUAUUAGGUAGUUGGCGGGGCAACGGCCCACCAAGCCUACGAUAUCUAGGGGUUCUGAGAGGAAGGUCCCCCACAUUGGUACUGAGACACGGACCAAACUCCUACGGGAGGCAGCAGUGAGGAAUAUUGGUCAAUGGACGAGAGUCUGAACCAGCCAAGUCGCGUGAAGGAAGACGGAUCUAUGGUUUGUAAACUUCUUUAGUGCGGGAACAAAGCGGCGUCGUGACGCCGGAUGAGUGUACCGCAAGAAUAAGCAUCGGCUAACUCCGUGCCAGCAGCCGCGGUAAUACGGAGGAUGCGAGCGUUAUCCGGAUUUAUUGGGUUUAAAGGGAGCGCAGGCUGCGAGGCAAGUCAGCGGUCAAAUGUCGGGGCUCAACCCCGGCCUGCCGUUGAAACUGUCCUGCUAGAGUUCGAGUGAGGUAUGCGGAAUGCGUUGUGUAGCGGUGAAAUGCAUAGAUAUGACGCAGAACUCCGAUUGCGAAGGCAGCAUACCAACUCGCGACUGACGCUGAGGCUCGAAAGCGUGGGUAUCGAACAGGAUUAGAUACCCUGGUAGUCCACGCAGUAAACGAUGAAUACUAACUGUUCGGAGGGCGACCUCUGAGUGGUAAAGCGAAAGCGUUAAGUAUUCCACCUGGGGAGUACGCCGGCAACGGUGAAACUCAAAGGAAUUGACGGGGGCCCGCACAAGCGGAGGAACAUGUGGUUUAAUUCGAUGAUACGCGAGGAACCUUA